GGUUGAUCCUGCCAGUAACAUAUGCUUGUCUCAAAGAUUAAGCCAUGCAUGUCUAAGUGUGAACUCAUUUCGCAUAGCUGAACUGCGUACAGCUCAUUAAAUCAGUUAUAAUUUCUUUGAAGGUUGGUGUAUUUGUCAAAGAUACUAUACGGAUAACCGUAGUAAUUCUAGAGCUAAUACGUGCGUUGAGGGGGGGUGGUGUUUAAAAGCCACCCUCUUGUGCUGAUUAGAUAUCAUGUUGGUUGUUGCAUGUAAACUUAUAUGAGACGACCCAUAAUCAUCAUUCUGAUG
rnacentral:rRNA from 1 species